rnacentral:lncRNA from 1 species
CACACUCCUUGCUGAGAAUUAUUGCAUAGAUGACAAGCAGAACUGUUUUUUCUUUACAGUUUCAGAAAUCAUUGGCAUAAUUCUCUGCUACUGUUUGUGUAGUAUAUGCUGGUCCAUGAUUGGGAACAGGUGUCAUAGUAUAGAACCAAUUGGAACACUUAGGAAUGGAGCUACUGGAUCUCUCUGAAAUGCAACAGCUGUUGGGAACUGCCUGCGUGCUUCUGUUGUAUUCGCUCUUACAAUGAUCAAAUACUGGAUGCAAUUUUAAAAUAUGACUCAGCACACUAAGGCAGAAGCUGUACACACAGUACACUUUGGAGCAAGCACACAGAAGGCUGAGCACGUGCUCCCAGGCACCAGAUGUGGAGAGAUCCUGUACCUACUGUGCUUCAACAGCCAAUUACUCAAACCCAUAAUAUUUUUGCUUCUGAAAUUAACCACUUUAUGAAUUAUACAAAAGGAAAUGAUCAGUGUUGACAGCUGAUUCUUUGAAAUAGGGGGUAAUCACAAACACCAUUAAAAAUAUGCCUGGAGUUCACCAUUCCGCAGUGCUGAAUCUCAUCAAGUUUUGAAAUGCUAUUAGCAAUAGCGUAUCUUUCCUAAGACUCAUAAUUUUCCAGGUAUUGUCCUGUCUGACUCAAUAAACCUCAGUAUCUACUCUUCA